AGAAAUUUAGGUUACCAAUUCUAAACCUAGAACCUUCAAAGUUCUGAACAGGGAACAACCCCUAAUUUCUG
rnacentral:tRNA from 1 species